UGGGGAAUUUUGGACAAUGGGCGCAAGCCUGAUCCAGCCAUGCCGCGUGCGGGAAGAAGGCCUUCGGGUUGUAAACCGCUUUUGUCAGGGAAGAAAUCUUCUGAGUUAAUACCUCGGGAGGAUGACGGUACCUGAAGAAUAAGCACCGGCUAACUACGUGCCAGCAGCCGCGGUAAUACGUAGGGUGCAAGCGUUAAUCGGAAUUACUGGGCGUAAAGCGUGCGCAGGCGGUUUUGUAAGACAGAGGUGAAAUCCCCGGGCUCAACCUGGGAACUGCCUUUGUGACUGCAAGGCUUGAGUGCGGCAGAGGGGGGAUGGAAUUCCGCGUGUAGCAGUGAAAUGCGUAGAUAUGCGGAGGAAACACCGAUGGCGAAGGCAAUCCCCUGGGCCUGCACUGACGCUCAUGCACGAAAGCGUGGGGAGCAAACAGGAUUAGAUA
rnacentral:rRNA from 1 species